rnacentral:rRNA from 1 species
ACGUAGGGACCAAGCGUUGUUCGGAUUUACUGGGCGUAAAGGGCGCGUAGGCGGCUUGUCAAGUCACUUGUGAAAUCUCUGGGCUUAACCCAGAACGGCCAAGUGAAACUGACAUGCUAGAGUGCAGAAGGGGCAAUCGGAAUUCUUGGUGUAGCGGUGAAAUGCGUAGAUAUCAAGAGGAACACCUGAGGUGAAGACGGGUUGCUGGGCUGACACUGACGCUGAGGCGCGAAAGCCAGGGGAGCAAACGGGAUUAGAUACCCCGGUAGUCCUGGCCCUAAACGAUGAAUACUUGGUGUCUGGAGUAAUUUGUGCUCCGGGUGCCGUCGCUAACGUUUUUAGUAUUCCGCCUGGGGAGUACGCUCGCAAGAGUG